UCCAGUAUUGCUGUUCUGCUGU
rnacentral:miRNA from 2 species